UACGUAGGAUGCGAGCGUUGUCCGGAUUUACUGGGCGUAAAGGGCGCGUAGGCGGCCACCGCAAGUCGACUGUGAAAUCUCCGGGCUUAACCCGGAAAGGUCAGCCGAUACUGCGGGGCUAGAGUGCAGAAGGGGCAACUGGAAUUCUCGGUGUAGCGGUGAAAUGCGUAGAUAUCGAGAGGAACACCUGCGGCGAAGGCGGCUCUCUGGGACGGUACUGACGCUGAGGCACGGAAAGCGUGGGGGAGCAAACAGG
rnacentral:rRNA from 1 species